UUCAUUUUCCCUCUCAGAGGCUAGAGAGAUUGAUCGGCGCAUAGCUGAUUGAGUGAUAGCUUGCAGUCGACCAAAUUUAAUACGAGCUUUACCUGAAUUGAAGAAGGACAAGGAAGCGAAAACAAAGGUUUGGCAACAUUGAUUUGUAGGAGGCUACCAGCUGAAAUAGCGUCGUCUUGCAGUCGAUAUUCUAAAGCAACGAGCCAACCUCUGUUGACAGAAAUGGCCAGUGAUGGAAAUAAAAUGAAAGCGAAACCAAAAAAAGGACCCAUUGAAGAAACUGAAGAAUUUUCGGAUGAAAGUGACGAGGAGGACCUUGGAGUUCAGUUGAUUUCAAGAAUAGGUCAUUGUGCUGUCUCAUCGUUGGUAAGUCAAUUAAUUAGCUUCGUUUCGUUUUCUGUUACCUUCUAGUUCGAACCACACACACUCACACAUAAUUCUACCACAUUUGUUAUCGAAAUCACACCAAGUAUUCAGCUACCUGGCUACGUUCCAUUUUGUAUCACAUAACAUUAAACCACUUGGGAUUGUUACACGUGGUGCUUGUGCGUUCGUUUUGGGGCUCUAUGUACUAGCUAUCCUUCCACUGCUAAGCGGCGCUACCCGGUGAUUCUCUGGAAUUCACAAAUGAUAGAUAAGUGUUCUGUUUUAAAUAAAUGUAAACGUCGCCUGAAUAUCAUCAACGAGAUACAGGUAAACCCCGAUAACUCGAGCCCUCGUUAACUCUAAUACCC